rnacentral:rRNA from 1 species
UACGGGGGGGCAAGCGUUGUUCGGAAUUACUGGGCGUAAAGGGCGCGUAGGCGGCCUGUUAAGUCGAACGUGAAAUCCCCGGGCUCAACCCGGGAACUGCGUCCGAUACUGGAAGGCUUGAAUCCGGGAGAGGGAUGUGGAAUUCCAGGUGUAGCGGUGAAAUGCGUAGAUAUCUGGAGGAACACCGGUGGCGAAGGCGACAUCCUGGACCGGUAUUGACGCUGAGGCGCGAAAGCCAGGGGAGCAAACGGG